rnacentral:rRNA from 1 species
GAUGAACGCUGGCGGCGUGCUUAACACAUGCAAGUCGAACGGAAAGGCUCCUGCUUGCAGGGGUUCUCGAGUGGCGAACGGGUGAGUAACACGUGGGUGAUCUGCCCUGCACUUCGGGAUAAGCCUGGGAAACUGGGUCUAAUACCGGAUAGGACGAUGGUUUGGAUGCCAUUGUGGAAAGUUUUUCGGUGUGGGAUGAGCUCGCGGCCUAUCAGCUUGUUGGUGGGGUAAUGGCCUACCAAGGCGUCGACGGGUAGCCGGCCUGAGAGGGUGUACGGCCACAUUGGGACUGAGAUACGGCCCAGACUCCUACGGGAGGCAGCAGUGGGGAAUAUUGCACAAUGGGCGCAAGCCUGAUGCAGCGACGCCGCGUGGGGGAUGACGGCCUUCGGGUUGUAAACUCCUUUCGCUAGGGACGAAGCGCAAGUGACGGUACCUGGAGAAGAAGCACCGGCUAACUACGUG